rnacentral:rRNA from 1 species
ACUGCUCAGUAACACGUGGACAACCUACCCUUAGGUCGGGGAUAAACCCGGGAAACUGGGUAUAAUACCCGAUAGAUCUCGGCUGCUGGAAUGCAUCGAGAUCGAAAGCUCCGACGCCUAAGGAUGGGUCUGCGGCCUAUCAGGUAGUAGUGGGUGUAGCGUACCUACUAGCCUACGACGGGUACGGGUUGUGAGAGCAAGAGCCCGGAGAUGGAUUCUGAGACACGAAUCCAGGCCCUACGGGGUGCAGCAGGCGCGAAAACUUUACAAUGCUGGAAACAGCGAUAAGGGGACCUCGAGUGCCAGGUUACAAAUCUGGCUGUCGUGAUGCCUAAAAAGCAUUGCAUAGCAAGGGCCGGGCAAGACCGGUGCCAGCCGCCGCGGUAACACCGGCGGCUCGAGUGGUAACCGUUAUUAUUGGGUCUAAAGGGUCUGUAGCCGGCCGGAUAAGUCUCUUGGGAAAUCCAGCAGCUCAACUGUUGGGCUCUCAGGAGAUACUGUCUGGCUCGAGGCCGGGAGAGGUGAGAGGUACUUCAGGGGUAGGGGUGAAAUCUUGUAAUCCUUGAAGGACCACCAGUGGCGAAGGCGUCUCACCAGAACGGACCUGACGGCAAGGGACGAAAGCUAGGGGCACGAACCGGAUUAGAUACCCGGGUAGUCCUAGCCGUAAACGAUACUCGCUAGGUGUCGGCCACGGUGCGACCGUUGUCGGUGCCGUAGGGAAGCCGUGAAGCGAGCCACCUGGGAAGUACGGCCGCAAGGCUGAAACUUAAAGGAAUUGGCGGGGGAGCAC